CUAAUUUCUCAGUUUGUGAUCUUAUACUCCUUCCAUCCACAAAUAAGUGGCUCCGAUUUGUCUGCGGAUCUGUACGCAUUUUAGUGUGUAGAUCCUUUCAGUUAACAUCGUUUUUUAUGUCAGGUCUAGAUACAAUUUUCUCAAUAUCGGUUGAGUCUGGGAACACGACCAUUGUUCAUCUAGAAGGUGGAACUGCAAUCUCUGUAUAUAAGGUUGUUGAUGCUGAAGUUCAAACCAAAUAUUCGCCAAGAUGCUUAACCUGCAUAUAGGUAUUGUGCAUCAAGGCACAUUUGUAUCCUGCGGGCAACGGUCACCUGCAAUUGUCUUCUACUGCAGCCAUGGUAUUCCCUGGCAAUGGCAUGACUUGGUAAUACUCUUGUUAUUGCUUCUCUACUUGUCCUCGGCAUCUUGGAUAAGGAGUCUUAUCAUUUACUCUAAUUUCUCAGUUUGUGAUCUUAUACUCCUUCCAUCCGCAAAUAAGUGGCUCCGAUUUGUCUGCGGAUCUAUACGCAUCUUAGUGUGUACAUACCUACCAAUCUAGAUAAAUCCGGGUCACCUUUUUUUGGACAAAGGGGAUACAAAGGAUGAAGAGUCACCAAGAAACACCACAGAGCAAAAGGAGAAUAGAAGAAUUAGGGACAAAAUCUUCCGGUACCAUGUGGAUCUUAGCAAGGGAAGUACCAAUACGAUCCGUUCUAAUAUCACCUGAAUUUCUUUUAUCUAUCGCCUUCCCAUAUAUCAUCUUUAUUUGAUCGAGUGUAGUGUUUACUUCAUGUUUCAUGUGGUGCUGUGUGUGCAUGCAAGAAGUAGGUAAACUUACCGGAGACCUGGGUAUUUUGAGACACUCGAUCGAGUACCAGGCCACCACUUCAAGUUGUUGGUGAUGCUGGGUUGAGCUGCGAGCCGCACGGAGGGUCUUCCAGUCCUGUCAGCCCGACGUCUUCCUUUCCGUUGCGUCCGACGGGAUAUCGCUGGGGCAGUCGUACAAUGAUAUGCCGGCGGCUAGGGUAGGGUUUUCUUUACGUUACUUUUUGGAAGAUGGGUUUUGUUCUCAUGUUUUUUUUGGCAUACGUCCAACAUCUAGAUGA